rnacentral:rRNA from 1 species
AGAGGUGGCAAGCGUUGUUCGGAAUUACUGGGCGUAAAGGGCGCGUAGGCGGCCUCGCAAGUCCCGUGUGAAAUCCCUCGGCUCAACUGAGGAAUGGCACGGGAAACUGCGGGGCUUGAGUUCGGGAGAGGGAAGCGGAAUUCCGGGUGUAGCGGUGAAAUGCGUAGAUAUCCGGAGGAACACCGGUGGCGAAGGCGGCUUCCUGGACCGAUACUGACGCUGAGGCGCGAAAGCUAGGGGAGCAAACGGGAUUAGAUACCCCGGUAGUCCUAGCUGUAAACGAUGAGCGCUGGGUGUAGGGGGUCUUAACCCCCGCGGUGUCGCAGCCAACGCGUUAAGCACUCCGCCUGGGGAGUACGGCCGCAAGGCUA